rnacentral:misc_RNA from 1 species
GAUGGAGACUGGCAUUAGUGAUCAUACAUCUAAUGUGUCCCACAGGAAUAGCAGUCCUCGAGGGGAAUGGCUCGGUGAGACAGAACGUGAAAGAGUUAGAAUUGUUAGGGAGUGGGUGCAGAUGGCAAGUCAGCAGCGAGGAGGUCGUGGGGGAUGGAGGGAAGAGCAGGCUGCUGGACUUGAUGCACAAGUUGACAGAGUUCGUGAUGGGUCAGCUGCUGACAAUGAUGAAGGGCAACCAGAACAUAUUCGUCGAGACAUGCUGAGGCUUCGAGGAAGACAAGCUCUUCUUGACCUACUCAUGAGGAUUGAGCGGGAAAGACAGAGGGAA